rnacentral:rRNA from 1 species
GACAGAGGGUGCAAACGUUGUUCGGAAUUACUGGGCGUAAAGCGCGUGUAGGCGGCCCUGCAAGUCGGGUGUGAAAUCCCACGGCUCAACCGUGGAAGUGCACUCGAAACUGCAGGGCUAGAGUCCUGGAGAGGAAGGUGGAAUGCUUGGUGUAGAGGUGAAAUUCGUAGAUAUCAAGCGGAACACCGGUGGCGAAGGCGGCCUUCUGGGACAG